GUCCAUCCUCAGGGAUGGUCCCCCUUGGCCUGACCUGCUGUUAAUGUUGUUAGCUUCUCAUUUCCAGGAGUACUAAAUCUAUUACAAAGUAUUAAAACUGGUGUUUGGAAUAUGAUCUAAUUAAUGCAUUCUGCUUUAUUUGAAUUCAACAGUAGAAGAAAUCUUGGCUUUGAACUUUUUUCUCACACUGUGCAGUAGUACGAGGACAGCAAAAACUGAGAUUUACGAAGGAUGAGACUGCUGCUGGACACAGACAAAGGCCUGGUUGGGAAGCCAGCCAGGAAGCCUGAUUGCUGAUGGAAGCUUCCUCUUUUACUCAUGAAGUAGUAGAUGGAGAAGAAAGAGUCAAAAAAAAGGCUUUUCCCAUCAUUCUCUCAACUGAGUCUGCAGAAGAUCAGCUCCAGUUCAAUGUGACUCUGGUGCCCAGUGAUGGUUGAGAACCAUUAGAACCCACCUCAGGAGUUGUAAUGAGGGAAGACUUUCUAGAAGGAGUAACAGCUGAGUGGAGACCUGGAAAGCACACAUGCAGAAUCCAGCUACUGAGUAAAUAUCUCUUAAAUGACCCGCAAGGAAUUCCAUCGGAGAUGAUGUGAAAAGAAGCAUGUUUAUUUAAACAAACUUCUUCAGUGCUGGCUGAAUAACUCUUUAAAGCAUGUUCUCCUCAGCUUCCCAAACAGAUGACCCUUAUAUUUUCGGUCUUAGGGAAGGCCAGACAGUGUCCAGAUAGAACACUGGGAAAAUUCUUGUGGCAUUCAAUGGAUUAGAAGAAUGUUGUCUGCAUGUAUGAUUUUCUUCUUCCACUUAUAGGUCACAAUUUGAACAGGGCAUAGCUGGAAUUGCUGAUCUAUGCUCUACAAUGAUCGGGGCCUUAGGUGGAGUGGCUCUCAUGUCUGAAGUUGGCUGAGAUGGCUGGACUGGGGCCUUGGUGUGAGCUGUUGGUUGGGUUCACUUCCUUAGUUCAUCUCUAUAACAUGUCUGCUGGGCUGGAAUGUCCAUGAUGCCUUCUUCACUCACCUGUCUGCAACUUGGACUGGGAUGGCUGGAAUAGGUAGGGCCAUACAGGUGCCCAAAAGAGAAAAUAAAUAAACUCGAGCAAGCUGAUUUUAAAGUUACCCCAUGGGAUAGAAAUAUUUAUUAUCUCCUCAGUUACGAAUGCUUAAACUCAUUUGAACCUUUAUAACAACUCUUAUCUGGUGCUUGAACAAGAAAGAUAGAGAAUCAACUAGGAAAAAUGCUUCCUUACAGCGGAGUGAGGUUAGAAAAAUGCACUACAAAGAAAUAUGUAUUGUGUUCUUUCAAGACUGACCAUUGUAGUGCCAUGAAAGGGCUGGCAGAUCUCUUGGGAAGAAAAUGUACAGAUCACUUGAGAUGAAAAUGAAUGAGUGAUAAAAAAGAAAGUUGUUUCUCGAGGAAAAUGAAGACAUCAGCUUCCUCCAUAUCUGCCCCCUUCCAGAGUUGCCGGUGCCGCCUGACUCUGAGAUUUGUAAGAGGAAAUGACCUCAGUUUGCUACAGGGCUUACGCAGAGGCUCCACUAACUGCUGCCCAGUGGUAUGGAUUGUGAACUCUCCUUCUUCCCCUCUCAUGCCAGCUCCCAAAAAUAACCCAGUGGGAACAACCCAGCAGCCUCUCCCUCAAGACCUGCAAAUCAAAGCCCUGAUUAGGUCAAAGGAUGGGAAAUGCGGCUGCAGAGCUACUCAGGGGCGCUCUAAUGCCAAGGGCGUAGAAGACUUCCUGUUCCCUCGGAGGCUGGCUCAGAGCCACAAGGCAGACUUCACUCAGGAGACCUCGGCCCAUCUCUUUGGCUCCUUGAACCUGAUGGGAUUCCAGAAGUCCAGAGAUGAACACUGUCCAACCUACACUUGCCGGACCUCUGACGGAGGAAAGCCCGAUCUUGCUGGGGAUGCCUCACUCCCUGGGAAAGUUAUUCCCUCUGGCCCUUCCUUAUGUUAAAUGAGGCCAGUGAGAAAUGUUUUUCCUUCUUCAUUUCUGAUGGGGACAGUGAGAGCAGCAACUAGUAUCACUGUGAUGUCACCUUACAGUUUGAAUGAAAAGAAUAGGAAAUAGUCCCUGCCCCAUAACUAAGAUAGGCGUUUCUGGUAGGCAUUGAGGGGAAGUGAUAGAGCAAAUGGGGAGGGUUGGUGGGUAGAAACGAGCAUAGCAAGUGCUCUGCAACAGAGAACAGCAAACUGCCAAACUACAGACAGCUCCUUGGUCCAAUCUGGCCUCUCACCUGUUUGUAAAUACAAU
rnacentral:lncRNA from 1 species